CCCUUAGACGUUCUGGGCCGCACGCGCGCUACACUGAUGCAUUCAACGAGUCUAAAACCUGCUCUGAUAGGGGUGGGUAAUCUUUUGAAUGUGCAUCGUGAUUGGGAUAGAUGAUUGCAAUUUUUCAUCUUCAACGAGGAAUGCCUAGUAAACGCAAGUCAUCAGCUUGCAUUGAUUACGUCCCUGCCCUUUGUACACACCGCCCGUCGCUCCUACCGAUUGAAUGAUCCGAUGAAUAUCAUGGAUUGAGGAUGCAAGCAGGUUCGCCUGUCUUCAUCUUCGAGAAGUGAAGUAAAUCUUAUCAUUUAGAGGAAGGAGAAGUCGUAACA
rnacentral:rRNA from 1 species